CGGGGCAUAGCGCAGCCUGGUAGCGCGCCUGCUUUGGGAGCAGGAUGUCGGAGGUUCAAAUCCUCUUGCCCCGACCA
rnacentral:tRNA from 1 species